AGUCAAACAUUCUCUGCUUGCUGGAUGUGACAGUUAUUAGUUGAUCCAAAUGAUCUUUAAUUUUUGUGUCGCACUGCAUUUAUCAUGCAAAACUUGGUACAGCACUCUAACUUUCCCUUUUGUUUGGCAUAAAGCAUUGUGUCAUUUUUAUUUUCUCUCAAACAAUUGGUGAUCCUGGACACCAAAACUAGCAGCAUGCCCUGCCACGAGGACCAUUUAGCAUCAGCUGCCAUUCCAGCCUUCUAUGGCACAGAGGAUUUCUGCCCUGAAACUUCCACAAAUUAAUCCCUCUUGCAAGCCUUUAUUUCCUUUAAGAUUUCAGUAAAGAACUGCUAAAGUGC